rnacentral:rRNA from 1 species
UACGUAGGGUGCAAGCGUUAAUCGGAAUUACUGGGCGUAAAGCGUGCGCAGGCGGUUUUGUAAGUCUGACGUGAAAUCCUCGGGCUCAACCUGGGAAUUGCGUUGGAGACUGCAAGGCUAGAAUCUGGCAGAGGGGGGUAGAAUUCCACGUGUAGCAGUGAAAUGCGUAGAGAUGUGGAGGAACACCGAUGGCGAAGGCAGCCCCCUGGGUCAAGAUUGACGCUCAUGCACGAAAGCGUGGGGAGCAAACAGG